rnacentral:lncRNA from 1 species
CCUAAUCAGAUUACCUGUCCGGGCUAAAUCUGUAAUGCACAUAUAUUCUUCGAAAGGCUUGAUCAUUCAAGGAACACCCGUCUGGGCUAGAUUCCUUUUCAUACUUGAGAUUAAGGAUUACUCGUCCGGGCUAAAUCCUUACUGCAACACAUGCAGGACCUCAUUCCACAUGUAAAACAUGGUUUAUCCAUCGAAUUCCCUUUUUA